rnacentral:rRNA from 1 species
CUGGUUGAUCCUGCCAGUAGUCAUAUGCUUGUCUCAAAGAUUAAGCCAUGCAUGUGUUAGUACAAGCUUGUAUCAAGCGAAACUGCGGAUGGCUCAUUAAAUCAGUCAUGGUUCCUUGGAACGAGUUGCCCUACAUGGAUAACUGUGGUAAUUCUAGAGCUAAUACAUGCUACCAUGCGCCGACCUCUUGGAAGGCUGUGCUUUUAUUAGGAACAAAGACCAAGCCUAGCCCGCCUUUCGUUGGUGAACUCUGGAUAACUUAGCAGAUCGCACGGUCAUCGCACCGGCGACAGAAACCAUCAAACGUCUGCCUAUCAACUUUCGAUGGUACGUUAUGCGCCUACCAUGGUCGUAACGGGUAACGGAGAAUCAGGGUUCGAUUCCGGAGAGGGAGCCUGAGAAAUGGCUACCACAUCCAAGGAAGGCAGCAGGCCGCGCAAAUUACCCACUCUCGACACGGG